CUUUGUGGAGAAGGUUGACAAUGGCACCACCUUGUGCAAAAUCUGAUCAUAACAGUUGAUUUCAAAGCGCAACUCUCUGACUACAUACACGUACAUAAACUGCAAGCGACGCGACAAACUACAACGGUUUCUAUUAUAAUGAACAACUCUGCGACGCGGUGAAAUGAAGUUUGUCGCGUCGCGUCAGAUGGGGCUUGAGCGUCGGGGCGUCGCCUUGGCUCGACCCGAACCAAUCGGGAUUCCGCUCAGAACUUUGUAAACAACACAGUUGCACGCUGUAUGAAAACUUUACUACGAGAGGAUGUCGCGUGCCGAGGACCGCCAGAACAUCACUCAACCAGCCCAGGGAGUCAUUUCUAAUAACAACACAAUGGAUGCUUCCAAGUGCACCGUCAAGUUUCAACAUCCUCAUUGCUGGAAGUUGCCUUCUGAGCAGCUGUUUGUGGGUACUGAUAGCAUGACAGGCUCAUCUUGGGCAACUCAACGUCAUUGUUUCCUGGAAUCUAUGCUAAUGAAGACAAAGACGCAUUAAAGCAGAAUUGGUGAGACAAAUAUCGCCAUAAAUAGGCCUUAAUAUGCAUAAUAAAAUGAAUAGUUUUAAUAAUUAUUUUGAAAUA
ensembl:lncRNA